UGCGCAGGCGGUCCCGCAAGUCCGUUGUGAAAGCCCCGGGCUUAACCUGGGAAUGGCAGUGGAAACUAGGGGACUUGAAUCUGGCAGAGGGGGUGGAUGCCACGUGUAGCAGUGAAAUGCGUAGAGAUGUGGCGGAACACCGAUGGCGAAGGCAGCCCCCUGGGCUGAGAUUGACGCUCAGGCACGAAGCGUGGGAGCAAACAGGAUUAGAUACCCUGGUAGUCCACGCCCUAAACGAUGAUCACUAGGUGUUGGGGAAGCGAUUUCUCAGUACCGCAGCUAACGCGUGAAGUGAUCCGGCCUGGGGAGUACGGUCGCAAGAUUAAA
rnacentral:rRNA from 1 species